rnacentral:rRNA from 1 species
AUUGAACGCUGGCGGCAGGCCUAACACAUGCAAGUCGAGCGGAUGAAGGGAGCUUGCUCCUGGAUUCAGCGGCGGACGGGUGAGUAAUGCCUAGGAAUCUGCCUGGUAGUGGGGGAUAACGUCCGGAAACGGGCGCUAAUACCACAUACGUCCUGAGGGAGAAAGUGGGGGAUCUUCGGACCUCACGCUAUCAGAUGAGCCUAGGUCGGAUUAGCUAGUUGGUGGGGUAAAGGCCUACCAAGGCGACGAUCCGUAACUGGUCUGAGAGGAUGAUCAGUCACACUGGAACUGAGACACGGUCCAGACUCCUACGGGAGGCAGCAGUGGGGAAUAUUGGACAAUGGGCGAAGGCCUGAUCCAGCCAUGCCGCGUGUGUGAAGAAGGUCUUCGGAUUGUAAAGCACUUUAAGUUGGGAGGAAGGGCAGUAAGUUAAUACCUUGCUGUUUUGACGUUACCAACAGAAUAAGCACCGGCUAACUUCGUG